rnacentral:rRNA from 1 species
UACGUAGGGUGCAAGCGUUGUCCGGAUUUAUUGGGCGUAAAGAGCUCGUAGGCGGCUUGGCAAGUCGGGUGUGAAAACUUCAGGCUCAACCUGGAGAUGCCACCCGAGACUGCUAUGGCUUGAGUCCGGUAGGGGACCACGGAAUUCCUGGUGUAGCGGUGAAAUGCGCAGAUAUCAGGAAGAACACCCGUGGCUAAGGCGGCUCUCUAGUACGGUACUGACGCUGAGACGCGAAAGCGUGGGGAGCGAACAGG